GACCGACGCGGAUUACGGUGGC
rnacentral:sRNA from 1 species